rnacentral:lncRNA from 1 species
GUAUGUAGUAUUUGUGGUAUAAAGCAUAGUGACAUUGCCUUCUCUCUCACCCUACUCUAAUAAGACUUUAAUAUAUGGAGCUCAUAGGUGGGGGAUAAAAUAUACAUACUUACAAGACAUUUAUUGCAUAGUCAAACCAUGGAUCCAAAGAAACAAAUCAAUAAGUCAAAUCAAGAUGUGCAUGUGUGGCGAAUGAAUGGUGUAUGG